rnacentral:lncRNA from 1 species
UCGGUGAAACUAGUUUGCCGCCUCCACUCCUUACCCCCUAAGAUCCAAACUCGAGAGGGAAACAACCCAAAUCGUACACUAAGGUCCCUAAGCAAUCACUUAGUGGAAAAUGAAAUGAUCGGGCGAUGAUAACUAGGAGAUGGGCUUGGAAGCAGCCAUCCUUUGAAGAAAGCGUAAUAGCUCACUGGUCUAGCUCCAUGGCACCGAAAAUGUAUUAGGGCUCAAGCGAUUCACCGAAGCGACAAGACCUUUUAGAUUUUAUAUACUAAAUGA